AGGAGUAGUCCGGCACUACGAGGAUUCUAUGGAGACUGUAAGUGGGGGUGGGUGUACUGCUAACUGCGGACGAGUGGCGGUGCUCAGUAAAAGCCAAAACAUCAUUUCAGGCGACAAGCAACCCUUCAAAAGUGUGGGAACUAGCAGGCAAAGCAGCCACUUAAGAAGACUUGCUUCAGAAUAAAUUUUGUUCUUCGUUGGAAUUUCUCUUAUUAUUAAUUCAAUCUCUUCAACUAUGGAAGACGACCUUCUUCUAGAUUCCUACAUCUUCUAUGAAUACCAAGUUUCUACUACUAUCAUCUAGUUCCAGUUUUACUUCCAAGUUUAUACAUCCAUAUAUAAACUGUUUUACCUUCGCUCAAAAGAAGAAGGAAGAUAUUAUAAUAACUGUCACUCAUAUAUCUGAUACCGUUACAUGAUUGGUUAAUAUUAUGGUAGCAUGUUAGGC